rnacentral:tRNA from 1 species
GUUUAUGUUGCGGAUGGUUCUGCGUUUUGAUUGCAGAUCGAAGAUAAGGGGUUCAAUUCCUCCAUAAACC